rnacentral:rRNA from 1 species
UGCAGUCGAGCGGACUGUUUUGAAAGAUUUCUUCGGAAUGAAUUUGAUUUAGUUUAGUGGCGGACGGGUGAGUAACGCGUGAGUAACCUGCCUUCAAGAGGGGGAUAACAUUCUGAAAAGAAUGCUAAUACCGCAUGAUAUAUCGGAAUCACAUGAUUUUGAUAUCAAAGAUUUUAUCGCUUGAAGAUGGACUCGCGUCCGAUUAGUUAGUUGGUGAGGUAACGGCUCACCAAGACCGCGAUCGGUAGCCGGACUGAGAGGUUGAACGGCCACAUUGGGACUGAGACACGGCCCAGACUCCUACGGGAGGCAGCAGUGGGGGAUAUUGCGCAAUGGGGGCAACCCUGACGCAGCAACGCCGCGUGAAGGAUGAAGGUUUUCGGAUUGUAAACUUCUUUUAUUAAGGACGAAAAUUGACGGUACUUAAUGAAUAAGCUCCGGCUAACUACGUGCCAGCAGCCGCGGUAAUACGUAGGGAGCAAGCGUUGUCCGGAUUUACUGGGUGUAAAGGGUGCGUAGGCGGCUUUGCAAGUCAGAUGUGAAAUCUAUGGGCUCAACCCAUAAACUGCAUUUGAAACUGUAGAGCUUGAGUGAAGUAGAGGCAGGCGGAAUUCCCCGUGUAGCGGUGAAAUGCGUAGAGAUGGGGAGGAACACCAGUGGCGAAGG